rnacentral:misc_RNA from 1 species
AACAUCGCGCACCUGCGGGAACCUGCGGAAGGAUCAUUACCGAGUUUACAACUCCCAAACCCAUGUGAACAUACCUAUCGUUGCUUCGGCGGGAUCGCCCCGGGCGCCUCGUGUGCCCCGGAUCCGGCGCCCGCCUAGGAACCUUAACUCUUGUUUUAUUUUGGAAUCUUCUGAGUAGUUUUUACAAAUAAAUAAAAACUUUCAACAACGGAUCU